rnacentral:misc_RNA from 1 species
GAUGAAGAACGCAGCGAAAUGCGAUAAGUAAUGUGAAUUGCAGAAUUCAGUGAAUCAUCGAAUCUUUGAACGCACAUUGCGCCCGCUGGUAUUCUGGCGGGCAUGCCUGUUCGAGCGUCAUUUCAACCCUCAAGCUCUCCGGAGUUUGGUGUUGGGGCGCCUGGGGCUUUUCGACCUCAGGGCCCUCAAGUCCAUCGGCGGGACCGCCAGGACACUGAGCGCAGUAGUAUUAUUUCGCUCGGUAGGAUCUUCCACGGCGGGUCGAUCUGGCCGCUAAACCCCCCAAUUCUCACCAAAGGUUGACCUCGGAUCAGGUAGGAAUACCCGCUGAACUUAAGCAUAUCAAUAAGCGGAGGA